GAGAGUAUAGCUCAGUGGUAGAGCGUGUUCUUGGUGUGCAUGAGGUCCUGAGUUCAAUCCCAAGUACAUUCG
rnacentral:tRNA from 1 species